UUCAGGGUUGAUGGCGAUGGUACCUUACUC
rnacentral:piRNA from 1 species